AAUAAAUAAAAUUAAAACAAAACAAAAUUAAAAUAAUAGGGUGUUACUGUCACUUACACCGUCUUCCCCUAAAAAUAAGUUUAGUCCUCUAAAUUUACUUACCUCAACUCUCAAAAAGUUGAGGGUACUUCAAUUUCAUCUACUCCAGCUUCUAAGGCUUCGUUUGGGAUUGCGGGGAGAUUGCAUUACGUGCGAUGAGAAAGUAAGUUGGAAAAAUACCUAUUUGUUUUCGUACGUAAUAUUGCGUUCCACAUAUCACGAUGAGUCGAUUAUGAUAUAUUUUUUGCGGUUCCACCAGAGAACGCAGAAGCAUAUCCCUAUAUGCUUUUUCCUCAACUCCAUUUUAUCUAAUAGCGUUAGAUAGGCCUCAAUACCAAACUAAGCCUAAGUAGUCUCACGUUCAGAAUGAUUACUACAUUGCACCUUCACAUAUAGAAUAGUUUGCCUUAUCAGCACUUGAUCUUUUCUGUCUACAAUACGUAUAGGCUGUUCAACAUAAGAUAAGUAUUCUCUAAGGAUAUGUUUGUUUGGGUGGAAGUGGGACGAAAGUAGAGAAGAGAGAAGUCGUUUUCAUUAUAAAUGAUUACUUCCGUUGUUUGGUACGCCAUAAAAAAGUUACGGUCGAAACUCGAGUUAACCUGAAACGACGUAAUUAAUUUUGGCCCAUUAUGGGUCGAAGUCAAUUACGGUGAAGAGAGGCGAAAAACAUAAUAAAAUAAUAUACUAGGUAAAAAUAAUUAUAUUUAAAUAUAUUUAAUUACGGUACUAAUUACUCUUUUAUUCAAUUGGCAUAUUUAAAAUAUGAUAAAAAUUGAUUAGUUAAGUUUUUUUUUUUUUGUUUAUUUUGUACAAUUAAAAUAUGAUAAAAAUUGAUUAAUUAAGUAUUAAUAUUUUUUACUUUAUAAUUUUAUUGUUGUAUUACUAUAAUUUAUGUAUAAAAAAUGAUUUAGUUGUUUUAAAUUAAAUUUUAAUUAUAUAAAAUAUAAUUUUUUUUAUUUAUUAAAUUAUUUAUUAUUUAUAUAUAAAUUAUAAUUUUACAUCAUACACUUUCUACCAAACAAACAGCAGAAUUAAUAAAAUUUCACUUCAAUAACUACGAAACAAACAGCAGGAAAGAAGUGGUUUUUACCUAACUCCACUUCAAACCCAAAGUCCAUUUUAACCCAAAGUCCAAUUUCAGUGAAACAAACAUGCCCUAAGCUGCAAAAGUGCUAACUCCAUUACAUAGCUUAGGUCAUGAACAUAUUUACUUAACAUGGACACAUGGAACACAAUAUGCACGCCGACCAACGAAGGCGGUAAGGCAAGCAUAUAGGCCACAUCUUCUACCUUCUCAAGAAUUUCAAAAGGACCGAUAUAAUGAGCGCUGAGCUUUCCACGAACUACAAAGCGCAUACUACCCCUAGAAGGUGACACUUUUUGUUGGUGUAUAUAUUUAAGAAAUAGAGGUUAGUUACAAAAAAAUUUAAAAAAAUGUCAACGAGUCGAUCAAGCCGAGGCACGGAUAUCUCGCUCUCUUUAAAGAGAUUCAAGCUCUCUGCGGUUGGCAAAGCCUUUAAACAAAUGCAACAGAGCACUGACUUGUCCCCUCCAGGAUACAACGGCUCGACCCUAGUCGUGUAGCUUCACCAACUCUGCACAAGUAGAUGAGCCCAAAGCUCCACCAAAAGAAACACCUUUCUUUGACCUUCUCUCUCUCAAGUAUAAUUGAAAUAACUUUGUUGUUUUUUGAGUUGUGUUUAAGUGAAU
rnacentral:lncRNA from 1 species